AUUGAACGCUGGCGGCAGGCCUAACACAUGCAAGUCGAGCGAGCGGCGGACGGGUGAGUAAUGUAUGGGAACUGCCUGAUAGAGGGGGAUAACUUCUGGAAACGGUAGCUAAUACCGCUUACCAUCCGAUAGCCCAUAUGGGAUUAGCUGGUAGGUGGGGUAAUGGCCCACCUAGGAGACGAUGCCUAGCUGGUCUGAGAGGAUGAUCAGGCACACUGGGACGGGGAAACGGCCCAGACUCCAAGGGAGGCAACGGUGGGGAAUAUUGCACAAUGGGCGCAAGCGUGAUGCAACCAUGCCGCGUGUGUGAAGAAGGCCCUAGGGUUGUAAAAUACUUUCAGUCGGGAGGCGUUACCGACAGAAGAAGCACCGGCUAACUACGUGCCAGCAGCCGCGGUAAUAC
rnacentral:rRNA from 1 species